UACAGAGGUGGCAAGCGUUGUUCGGAUUUAUUGGGCGUAAAGGGUCCGUAGGCGGCUCGGAAAGUCAAGUGUGAAAUCCUACAGCUUAACUGUGGAACUGCACUCGAAACUCCCGAGCUAGAGUGUGAGAGGGGUGAAGGGAAUUCCCGGUGUAAGGGUGAAAUCUGCAGAGAUCGGGAGGAACACCAGUCGCGAAGGCGCUUCACUGGCUCACUACUGACGCUCAGGGACGAAAGCUAGGGGAGCAAACGGG
rnacentral:misc_RNA from 1 species